UUGAGUUUGACAGAUGUGUGUGUGACGUCAUAAUAUUGAUCAUGUCGUCACGUCAGCCAUAAUUUUAUAAUUAUUUUAACAAAUUCGUGCAAAAUAUGUGAUGAAAACAUUUUAUAGCAACGCAUAACUAGUAAACAUUCCUUCUUACAUUUAGUCUGUGACUUAGCUAUAACAUAUAAAGAUGAUGCAAUUCAUGUUACUAUUCAGCCGGCAAGGCAAACUAAGACUGCAGAAAUGGUACGUCGCACACCCGGACAAGCUGAAGAAGAAGAUCACUCGGGAACUGAUCACCACAGUGUUGGCCAGGAAGCCCAAGAUGUGUUCAUUCUUGGAGUGGAAAGAUGUCAAAAUCGUUUACAAAAGAUAUGCAUCUCUAUAUUUCUGCUGUGCGAUGGAGCAGGAGGACAAUGAACUCCUCACUCUGGAGCUGAUACACCGCUAUGUGGAGCUGCUCGACAAGUACUUUGGCAGUGUAUGUGAACUGGAUAUAAUAUUCAACUUCGAGAAGGCAUACUUCAUACUGGACGAGCUGGUGCUCGGCGGUGAGCUGCAGGAGACCAGCAAGAAGAACGUCCUGAAGGCCAUCGCUGCACAGGAUCUGCUCCAAGAGGUCAGUAGCCAGGAUAAUGAGCUUGUCUAAUUAACUAGACUAAUUAAUAUACACACCUAUUUAUUUGUGGCUUUACCAAAUAUUUAAAAUUUACAUUUACAUAGUACAUUUUUGCUAGUUAAUUGUUCUUAUGUAUUAAUUUUGGCCACGGCGGCUAUUCUCAUUUAACGAGAUAAGCCAGUGCAAGAGCAUUUGCGCAGACACAGGUGCACUCCCUAUUCCUUCACUCUCAUAACCCGAUGGGACGGCAAUCCGACACAAUCCGAAAGAGAUAGUUAAGCAUUCUACAUUCCAAUGAUAACUGAAAUAUUGGUGAACCACAAAGAAGUUGGUGUGUAUCGUACAGUACCUAUUGUUAGAGAGAGAAGGUCCUAUGUCAUUAGACUGGGGCUUACAGGUUUAUAUGUGCAAUACCCAUUAGGGAAUAUUUUAAAUUUACACUAUUUUAGCUACAAAGGUUAUUAAGUUACUCAAUAUUUAAUAUUUUGCCUCUGAACAAAUGUGUUGUGGUUAAGUCAUCAAGCUACGCCUUUAUUAUGAAACCUCGAUUAUUUAGCAUAUUAUAUUAUAAGAAACAGUUAUUAUGUAGUUCCUAAAAUAUCCAAUUGAUGUUUUUGCAUAGUGGAUAUCAGCAACCAGUGAUUAAUUUUGUUCCUUUAAGAUUGUUCAAUUAUUAUUCUAAUCAGUAAUUUACAGAGUCAAAUAUGAAUAGUUUAUUUAUUACAAUGAGUGAAAUAAGAUUAUAAUUAGUUAGCCUUUUCCAUCAGAUUCUAAAAGUUAAUUAAUUAAAUACUCACAAUAUAGAACUGCCGUAUACAUAGCUAGUUGCAACACAUGUAGAUGUUUUUAUAUAGAUAUAUUAAAUGAAUAAAGUAUAUGAGUAAACUAGGUAUAUAAAGUGGACCAGUUGAUAGGACAGUGGCCUCGGUAGUGCCUUUUGAUUAUGUACUAGAUAUUAACACAAAUGUCCGCGAGUAGGAGCACUUGCCUUUUAGAUUAAACUUCAAAGAAGCACUUACACAUAUCAAUCUCUUGAACACCUGAAAACGUAUUUAUUUCAUGUUGCCAAAGAAUAAAAUGGGAAAUUCAGAAAUUGAAUUCGAAAAGUGUAACGUUAAAUGCGCAAAAUCCCCGUCACCAAAUUCAGAGAUAUUUAUUUUUCUUCGAAUGGUAAGUUGUAAUAAUUUCUUGCAUCUGUGGUGACGCUUUUUGGGCGAACUUGCCAUCGGCGGAUUCUGAUCAUUUUCAGGUUUUGCGUAUUUAACGUUAUACUUUAUGCCUUUUUAUCAAAAUCUGCAUAAUGCAAAAUGAAAUAAAAAUGUUUUUAGAUUUUUCUCUACAUAUCAAAAAUGAUAUUAAAAGCUAACUUUCUUAAAAUCCUGCUAAUACUGCAAAGGACAAACAAUAAUAUAAAAUUAAGAAAUGCUAAGCCUAAAAUGCAAAUAUAUAAGAAAAUAUUAUUAUAAAAGUUAGUCAAUUUAAAUGUUAACCAAUUUAAGUACUGUUAAUGAUAUUAAAAACAUAAUACUCUUUAUUUAACAACGAAAGAACUCUCCGAUUUACACGAACAUAGACUUACAAAUCUCAUAAAAUAGCCGCGUGUGUUAAGCUAGACUAGUCUAGUCAAAAGUGUGGUGCAGUCGGCGAUAUUAAUUUGCUCAUUGAUUUAUUUAAAAAAAUAUUCCGUAUGUGUAUGUCUGGCCGAAAAACAUAGAUGUAUCUUAACUUGGUUUGGGACACAUCUAUUGUUAAGUAUAACUAUAUAACUUCUAUUUAUCUUGCACUGUGUUACAUAUUAACUUUUCAUUAGUAUAUAUUUUUUAUGAAUAUAUAUAAUACCAAGUCAAAAUAAAGCAUUUACGGGUCCUUAAUAAUUAAUAUCUUGAUCUCUGGGUUCACUUCUAUCCACAACAUAAAUGUCAGUUUUCUGAAAACACUAGUUUACUAUGAAUUUUCAAAGUAAAUUAUUGCUUCAAGAAAACUGACAUUUAUGCAGUUGGUGAACUUGGGUCUUAGGACUUGUUAUUAACAUUUCGCCGACUGCGUCCCCACGAUGUGCUUACAAACUGUACUUCCACUGCACUCUGCUAAUAUUCUGGUUUGUUUCGGUGUGAACUGCAUGCAUUGGUGGCGGUCAGGACCUCAACGACGGAUUGUUACACUGAUGUCGCACAACCGCGGACUAUACAAUAAGCUACUUUAUUCUCUGUGUUUUUAGAGCUUUUAUUGCAUGCUGCUUAUUUAUUUUUUUACCUAUAUUUAUAUAAGCUAUAUUUUAUUUAAGUAUGUAGCUAGCGUUUUCUUCAAACUCUUUUUUAGCUACUCUAGCAUGGCUAUAUACUCAGCGUUAUUACAUUUACUAUCACACACUCUCAGUAUAUAAUACAUACAGAAUUCUCAGUAAAUCAUAAUUAAUCUCGAUGGUAGAUCUUUCAUGCGAUUUAAUGUAUUGUUAGUAGAUAGGGAAACAGGGCGUCAUUAUAGUUAGUUAUUAUAAUAGUUUAUCUGUAUAUCGUUGCUUCAUAUAUGUGUAGUUAAACUUUAUGAUUAUCACAUUGUAUCUGGACACUGCUUUACUUGUGCUUCUUCACGUUAAAACAACACCGUAUGAUUGUGAAAUUUAAAUAUUCCUCAUAAUGAGAGUUGACAAAUAUAUUGCUCAAACAUUGACUUUAAUCACUCAUUUUCUCAGUAAUUAUUAACUUCUUAAUCAGGGUGAUAUCUUUUGUAUUUUAACAUAUGGUAACAUUUACAUUUGUAAAUCAGUGUCCUCUUGGUUAUGGUCUGGCUGUUCAUGCAUUUAUUGUAAUGGGUUGUCGAAAUACAUUUUAAAAACAAA
rnacentral:misc_RNA from 1 species